GCCACGAAGUAAACAUCUGAUUUUUACUUUCGAAAAAGUUACAUUUUAACUUCUCUGCAAAAUUCACUAACUGCACUAUUCUUGCUGUCAGACAGGUUUCUGCUCAGAUGACAUCUCCUUCACGACGACGUGCAAAAAUGUGGAACGGCUCAGAAAUGAGGCAGCUGCUGCCCUACAUGCCAGGCGCUCUCGGUGACAUCAUCACCCCUGCCGCUCCCCUGUGGCUGAAAAACAACAAAACAACAACAACAAAACUUAAGGCAUAGCCAUGCAAAUGACUCCUGUCCCCUCCCUGAUGCGACCCCUUCUGUUCCCCCCCUAUGCUUCUGUGUCUGCCUUUCCAUCUCCCCGUGAGCUGCCGUGACCUAUUUACCUGGAGUGUCUCGACAUCGAGGUUUUACCUGUGCAGACGGCAAGGCACAGCUGUCUGCACAUCAGAGUUUAACAUAAGAGGCCUAUAAGCUCAGCUGUCUGUGACGAAAACAACAAAAAUAAAUAUAUAACUUUUAACUUAA